rnacentral:rRNA from 1 species
CCCUUAGACGUUCUGGGCCGCACGCGCGCUACACUGACGAAGGCAACGAGCUACUCUUCACCGAAAGGUGUGGGUAAUCUUUUGAAACUUCGUCGUGCUGGGGAUAGAUCCUUGCAAUUUUUGAUCUUAAACGAGGAAUUCCUAGUAAGCGCAAGUCAUCAACUUGCGUUGAUUACGUCCCUGCCCUUUGUACACACCGCCCGUCGCUACUACCGAUUGAGUGAUCCGGUGAAUAAUUCGGACUGCAGCAGUGUUCAGUUCCUGAACGUUGCAGCGGAAAGUUUAGUGAACCUUAUCACUUAGAGGAAGGAGAAGUCGUAACA